CUGGUGGUGGUGCUUAUAAAAGUAAACUUACAGAACAAGAUGCACAAGUUUUAGCUAUGGUAGCUACACAAGUGCAGCCUCUGCCCAAUGUAUAUGAUGAUGCUGCAUUAUAUUUUGGUGAUGAAGCAAAAACUAGUAAUGAAAUUGAAAUAAGAGCAGCAGAUAAUUUGCUUAUCAUUCACACAAACACAGAUAAUAUAAGUGAACAGAGUGGUACGUACAUGCAAAUAAUAAUGCAGAAUUGGGAAAUAAUAUUAUGGUUUUAUUCUUUAAAACUAUGGCUCGGUUGUUUGGUACAGAGCAUAUGCAGUAUGUAUGGUGAUCGAAUGUUUACUGGUUUGUGUGAAUGGUGACUUGUGUUAUAAAAUCACUCUACAAUUUUUUGAAAUCAUUACUUCUAUUAUUAUAUUUAUUAUUAAUUUCCUUAAUUUUUUUAGAUUCUCAAAAUAAACUUUCGGAGCGAAGCAAUAAGCCUUGUACAAUUACAUCUAAUAAAUCUGAUAACCAUGAAUUUACCCACUGCCUCACUACAAAUGAUUUACCUCAAAAUGUACCUAAUACCAAAACCUCAAAUCUCGGAAAAGUAAAAAUCAAAAAAACAAUUCUUAAAAGGCAUGGUAAUGAUGUCAAGCAAGCAUAUUUUAAAGCGAAG